rnacentral:rRNA from 1 species
CCCGCUCAGAAACUUAAAUGAAUUGACGGGGGGCCCGCACAAGCGGUGGAGCAUGUGGUUUAAUUCGAUGAUACGCGAGGAACCUUACCUGGGCUCAAAUGUAUGUUGACGUAUUCUGAAAGGGAUACUUCUUCGGACAAUAUACAAGGUGCUGCAUGGUUGUCGUCAGCUCGUGCCGUGAGGUGUCGGGUUAAGUCCCAUAACGAGCGCAACCCCUAUCAUUAGUUGCCAUCAGGUCAAGCUGGGGACUCUAAUGAGACUGCCAUCGUAAGAUGUGAGGAAGGUGGGGAUGACGUCAAAUCAGCACGGCCCUUACGUCCGGGGCGACACACGUGUUACAAUGGGUGGUACAAAGGGCAGCUACCUGGCGACAGGAUGCUAAUCUCCAAAACCACUCUCAGUUCGGAUCGGAGUCUGCAACUCGACUCCGUGAAGCUGGAUUCGCUAGUAAUCGCGCAUCAGCCACGGCGCGGUGAAUACGUUCCCGGGCCUU